UACAGAGACUGCAAGCGUUAUUCGGAUUCACUGGGCGUAAAGGGUGCGCAGGCGGCCAAGUGUGUGAGGCGUGAAAGCCCGGGGCUUAACCCCGGAAUUGCACCUCAAAACUACAUGGCUAGAGCAUUGGAGAGGGUAGCAGAAUUCAUGGUGUAGCAGUGAAAUGCGUAGAUAUCAUGAGGAAUACCAGAGGCGAAGGCGGCUACCUGGACAAUUGCUGACGCUCAGGCACGAAAGCGUGGGGAGCAAAAGGG
rnacentral:rRNA from 1 species